GAUUUUCCGGUUGAUCCUGCCGGACCAGACGGCUAUUGGAGUUCGGCUAAGCCAUGCGAGUCUUUCCGCAAGGAAGGCAUACUGCUGAGUAACACGUGGAUAAUCUGCCCUNUGGGUGGGGCAUAACCUCGGGAAACUGAGGCUAAUUCCCCAUAGGUUCUUGAGGCUGGAAUGCGCUUGAACCAAAAGUUUCGACGCCCAAGGAUGAGUCUGCGGCUGAUCAGGCUGUUGGCNG
rnacentral:rRNA from 1 species